rnacentral:sRNA from 2 species
UAAACGCUUCGUUAGGUGAGGCUCCUGUGUUGGAGAUAUGCUACUGCCCAGAAAUGUCGAGAGACGCCAACGGGUCAACAGGAACUAUCGAUCAAGGUAGUUUUUAAUGUAGCUGGCAAAUGUCCUAUGCCACACAGUGCUAAAGCUCAACUUGGAAGAUAUAU